rnacentral:tRNA from 1 species
CAGAAUGUAGCUUAUAAAUAAAGCUAAUUAUUUACAUUAAUUUGAAAAUAAAAUAUUUUUUCUGA